GGCGGGCCUCCCCGCAUUCAAUUGCUGUGAAUCUGGUCAGGUCGGGAACGAAGCAGCCAUAACAGUGUUGUUGAAGUGCCGGGGGUCGGGCUCGCCACC
rnacentral:SRP_RNA from 1 species